UACGUAGGGACCUAGCGUUGUCCGGAAUCAUUGGGCAUAAAGCGCGCGUAGGCGGCCCGGUAAGUCCGUUGUAAAAGUCGAAGGCUCAACCUUCGAAAGCCGAUGGAUACUGCCGGGCUAGAGUACGGAAGAGGCGAGUAGAAUUCCUGGUGUAGCGGUGGAAUGCGCAGAUAUCAGGAGGAAUACCCAUAGCGAAGGCAGCUCGCUGGGACGUUACUGACGCUGAGGCGCGAAAGCGUGGGGAGCGAACAGG
rnacentral:rRNA from 1 species